AAAUAAAUAAAUAUUUAAAAAAUAAAUAAAAAGUUUCUAUUUCUUAUGAGAUUGUCUCAGAAACAUUUCAGACCCAUGAUACUGAAUUUUCAUUCGUAUGUAAAAUGGGUUUUACAAUAAUUGAUGCUAUAUCUUCAUAGAGCAUGACGUUGAGAAUAAUCCUCACCAAAGACCAAAUAGCUCCUAAGUGAUAUGACAGUGCUGAAUUUACCAGUCCAAUACUGGUCUUCUAUUUUGUCUGUAUUACAGUAGUAAAAUGUACAAAUAAAAGAUACCACAGUAAAAAUAAAAUAAAGAAGUACUGCGGUCAAGAAACCAUGGUCAAAGUCCCUCUGCAGUUUCUCUGGGCCUAGAGCUCCUUCAGGCUCCACCUAUGCCGCAUCCCCACUUCAGCUCCUGGGGACGCCUGUGCUUCCUCACACCCCGCCCCCACCCCACCCGCCGCCAGCUUUUCAGACGAGUUCAGGAAGCCUCCUGCAGCCCCUCCGAACAGUCGUGAGUAACGGUGCAAGUGAGGCUCAGCGGACGGGGUUCACUUGCUGGGACCAGAAUCUCAACUGGGGUUCAGGAACUGCACACCAAGGGCUAUCGGUCAUUUAGCAGAGCACGGAGCACAGCUGCCCUAAGGUGCCUGACCUCAUAUGAAUGCAACAAGAGGAGACAAAGGACCACAGCUGUCAUGAUAAUGUUGAACACACUACCUUGGUUCUGGCAGUCUCAGUCUUUUCUUGUCCAGCUGAGGUGCUGUGAAAACACACCAGAUGCUGGGCUGGAAGACGAGGGACAGGUCUGGUCUCUGUUGAGUAAGGACAGUCUACUGGAAGGAGAUCACAGCAGCAACCUCACCUGCUGCCCACUGGCUUUUUGCCUGAUCCAUGUGCCCUGCAAUCAAUUGCCCAGAGAAAAACGGACGAGCAGACCAUGAACGUUGUCCAGCAUGAAAGGAAGGCAGUUCCAACACAGGCUACAGCCUGGAUGAAGCCUGAGGGCAUUAUGCUCAGUGACAUAAGCCAGAUACAGAAGAACAAAUGAUGUUUGAGUCCACUCAUAGAAGGUCCCUAGAGCAGUCGGUUCCCUAGACACGGAAAACAGGAUGGAUCUUCUGUAUAUGGGGAAAAGAACCUGAAAAAAAUAGGUAUGCAUUUACGCAUAACUUAAUAAAGCUCCUGUACACAACAUUGGAAAGCAACUCUAUUCCAAUAAAAGAUCAAAAUGAAAUUGCACAGAAAGAAAAAGAAAAAAGGGGCAUGAAGAAAUGCUGCCUCCUUGUGGCCGUUUUCCAUAACGACAACGUUGAUAGCGGUGCUGCUGCUGCUACUGCUGCUGAGUCGCUUCAGUCGUGUCCGACUCUGUGCGACCCCAUAGACGGCAGCCCACCAGGCUCCCCCGUC